UGGUUGAUCCUGCCAGUAGUC
rnacentral:rRNA from 1 species